rfam:Myotis brandtii contig272162, whole genome shotgun sequence.
GGUGGUUCUCGGGUGACGCAUCCAGGAAUCAGGCUCCCUCCUCUUUGGUUCCGGGUGUGUCACCCGAGAACCGCA